rnacentral:rRNA from 1 species
AGUGAACGCUGGCGGUAGGCCUAACACAUGCAAGUCGAACGGCAGCACAGUAAGAGCUUGCUCUUACGGGUGGCGAGUGGCGGACGGGUGAGGAAUACAUCGGAAUCUACUUUUUCGUGGGGGAUAACGUAGGGAAACUUACGCUAACACCGCAUACGACCUACGGGUGAAAGCAGGGGAUCUUCGGACCUUGCGCGAUUGAAUGAGCCGAUGUCGGAUUAGCUAGUUGGCGGGGUAAAGGCCUACCAAGGCGACGAUCCGUAGCUGGUCUGAGAGGAUGAUCAGCCACACUGGAACUGAGACACGGUCCAGACUCCUACGGGAGGCAGCAGUGGGGAAUAUUGGACAAUGGGCGCAAGCCUGAUCCAGCCAUACCGCGUGAGUGAAGAAGGCCUUCGGAUUGUAAAGCCCUUUUGUUGGGAAAGAAAAGCAGCAGAUUAAUACCCCGCUGUUCUGACGGUACCCAAAGAGUAAGCACCGGCUAACUUCGUG